AACGGUGUGAAGUCCUGUUCCGACCCGGAGUCGGCCUUCUAUUAAAACAGCAGAGACAGAGAAAGAAUUUUAGACUCUUACUAUUGACUGGUCUAAACUCGUCAUGAAGUCACUUGUACUCAGUCUGUUGUUGGUAUUUGUGUUGCUCAGUGUUACCGCUAACGCCAUAUUCUGGGGAAGACGGCGCUGUAGACCCGUGUGUCUGUUCAUGCGCUGUAUGUGCGGACGUGUAGUGAAGAACGGGUGUCCGACCUGCGCGUGCAAAUCGUGUACAUUUUCCUAGCAAUACAAAAUGUCCGCAUCUGUGUCACAAGGGUUAAUUCAGAUUCAUACCACGUGACAAACUGAUGACGUUCGAAAGAAUACAGCCAGCAUAAAAAUAAAACAUAAAAUUGCU